rnacentral:rRNA from 1 species
AUACGUAGGUGGCGAGCGUUAUCCGGAAUUAUUGGGCGUAAAGGGUGCGUAGGCGGUUAUUUAAGUUUAAGGUUAAAGUUCAGGGCUCAACCCUGUGAUGCCUUAGAAACUGGAUAGCUAGAGUACAGGAGAGGUUAGUGGAAUUCCAUGUGUAGCGGUAAAAUGGGUAGAUAUAUGGAGGAACACCAGUGGCGAAGGCGGCGAACUGGCCGGUAACUGACGCUCAGGCACGAAAGCGUGGGGAGCAAAUAGGAUUAGAUACCCUAGUAGUCCACGCCGUAAACGAUGAAUACUAAGUGUAGGGGGUAUCGACUCCCUCUGUGCCGCAGUUAACACAAUAAGUAUUCCGCCUGGGGAGUACGGCCGCAAGGUUGAAACUCAAAGGAAUUGACGGGG